UACGUAGGGGGCAAGCGUUAUCCGGAUUUACUGGGUGUAAAGGGAGCGUAGACGGCAUAGCAAGUCUGAAGUGAAAGCCCGUGGCUCAACCGCGGAACUGCUUUGGAAACUGUUAAGCUGGAGUACUGGAGAGGCAAGCGGAAUUCCUAGUGUAGCGGUGAAAUGCGUAGAUAUUAGGAGGAACACCAGUGGUGAAGGCGGCUUGCUGGACAGAGACUGACGUUGAGGCUCGAAAGCGUGGGGAGCAAACAGG
rnacentral:rRNA from 1 species